rnacentral:rRNA from 1 species
GUUGUGAGGUUAACGACUAAGCGUACACGGUGGAUGCCGGCAGUCAGAGGCGAUGAAGGACGUGCUAAUCUGCGAUUAAGCGUCGGUAAGGUGAUAUGAACCGUUAUAACCGGCGAUUUCGAAUGGGGAAACAGUGUGAUUCGUCACACUAUCAUUAAUGAAUCCAUAGGUUAAUGAGGCGAACCGGGGAACUGAAAACAUCUAAGUACCCCGAGGAAAAAUCAACCGAGAUUCCCCCAGUAGCGGCGAGCGAACAGGGGGAGCAGCCCAGAGCCUGAAUCAGUGUGUGUGUUAGUGGAAGUGUCUGGAAAGGCGCGCGGAAUACAGGGUGACAGCCCCGCGUACACAAAAAUGCACAUACUGUGCAGCUCGAUGAGUAGGGCAGGACACGUGGUAUCCUGUCUGAAUAUGGGGGACCAUCCUCAAGGCUAAAUACUCCUGACUGACCGAUGAAAGACCAGUACCGUGAGGGAAAGGCGAAAAAAAGAACCCCGGCGAGGGAGUGAAAAAGAACCUGAAACCGUGUACGUACAAGCAGUGGGGACGCGCUUCGGCGUGUGACUGCGUACCAUAAUGGGUCAGCGACUUAUAUUCUGUAGCAAGGUUAACCGAAUAGGGGAGCCGAGGAAACCAGUUAACUGGGCGUUAAGUUGCAGGGUAUAGACCCGAAACCCGGUGAUCUAACCAUGGGCAGGUUGAAGGUUGGGUAACACUAACUGGAGGGACCGAACCGACUAAUGUUGAAAGUAGCGGAUGACUUGGCUGGGGUGAAAGGCCAAUCAAACCGGGAGAUGGCUGGUUCUCCCAGACUAUUUAGGUAGCGCCUCGUGGGUUCAUCUCCGGGGGUAGAGCACUGUUUCGGCAGGGGGUCAUCCCGACUUACCAACCGUGCAAACUGCGAAUACCGGAGAAUGUUAUCACGGAGACACACGGCGGGUGCUAACGUCCGUCGUGAAGAGGAAACAACCCAGACCGCCAGCUAAGGUCCCAAAGUCAUGGUUAAGUGGGAAACUUGAUGUGCGGAAGGCCCAGACAGCCCGGGAUGUUGGCUUAGAAGCAGCCAUCAUUUAAAAAGCGUAAUAGCUCACACUGGUCGAGUCGGCCUGCGCGGAAGAAAUGUAACGGGGCUAAACCAUGCACCGAAGCUGCGGCAGCGACACUAUGUGUUGUUGGGUAGGGGAGCGUUCUGUAAAGCCUGUGAAGAUUGUACUGUAAGGUAUGCUGGAGGUAUCAAGAAGUGCGAAUGCUUUUUGACAUAAAGUAACGAUAAAGCCUUGGUGAAAAACCCGCUCGCCGGAAAACCAAGGGUUCCUGUCAACGUUAAUCGGGGCAGGGUGAGUCGACCCAAGGCGAGGCCGAAGGCGUAGUCGAUGGGAAGCUGGUUAAUAUUCCUGUACUUGGUGUUACUGCGAAGGGGACGGAAAAGGCUAUGUUGGCCGGGCGACGGUUGUCCCGGUUUUAGCGUGUAGGCUGGUUUCCGGGCAAAUCCGGAAAAUCAAGGCUGAGGCGUGAUGACGAGGCACUACGGUGCUGAAGCAACAAAUGCCCUGCUUCGGGGAAAAGCCUUCCUCUAAGCAUCAGGUAACAUCAAAUCGUACCCCAAACCGACACAGGUGGUCAGGUAUCCAGAGAAUACCAAGGCGCUUGAGAGAACUCCGGGUGGUGAAGGAACUAGGCAAAAAUGGUGCCGUAACUUCGGGAGAGAAGCACGCUGAUAUGUAGGUGAAGCUGACUUGCUCGUGGAGCUGAAAUCAGUCGAAGAUUACCAGCUGGCUGCAACUGUUUAUUAAAAAACACAGCACUGUGCAAACACGAAAGUGGACGUAUACGGUGUGACGCCUGCCCGGUGCCGGAAGGUUAAUUGAUGGGGUUAGCGGUAACGCGAAGCUCUUGAUCGAAGCCCGGUAAACGGCGGCCGUAAUAUAACGGUCCCCAAGGUAGCGAGAAUUCCUUGUCGGGUAAGGUUCCGACCUGCACGAAUGGCGUAAUAUGAUGGCGGGGCUGUCUCCACCCGAGAGACUCAGUGAAAUUGAACUCGCUGUGAAGAUGCAGUGUACCCGCGGCAAGACGGAAAAGGACCCCGUGAACCUUUACUAUAGCUUGACACUGAACAUUGAGCCUUGAUGUGUAGGAUAGGUGGGAGGCUUUUGAAGUGUGGACGCCAGUCUGCAUGGAGCCGACCGAAAUACCACCACUUUAAUGUUUGAUGUUCUAACGUUGGCCGUUACUCCGGGUUGCGGACAGUGUCUGGUGGGUAGUUUGACUGGGGCGGUCUCCUCCUAAAGUAACGGAGGAGCACGAAGGUUGGCUAAUCUGGUCGGACAUCAGGAGGUUAGUGCAAUGGCAUAAGCCAGCUUGACUGCAGGCGUGACGGCGCGAGCAGUACUACAGGUCAUAGUGAUCCGGUGGUUCUGAAUGGAAGGGCCAUCGCUCAACGAGAUAAAGGUACUCCGGGGAUAACAGGCUGAUACCGCCCAAGAGUUCAUAUCGACGGCGGUGUUUGUACCUCGUGUCGGCUCAUCACAUCCACGGGGCUGAAGUAGGUCCCAGGGGAAUGGCUGUUCGCCAUUUAAAAGUGGUACGCAGAGCUGGGUUUAGAACGUCGUGAGACAGUUCGGUCCCCUAUCUGCCGUGGGCGCUGGAGAACUGAGGGGGGCUGCUCUGUACGGGGACCGGAGUGGACGCAUCACUGGUGUUCGGGUUGUCAUGCCAAUGGCACUGCCCGGUAGCUAAAUGCGGAAGAGAUAAGUGCUAGAAAGCAUCUAAGCACGAAAACUUUGCCCCGAGAUAAGUUCUCCCUGACUCCUUGAGAGUCCUGAAGGAACGUUGAAGACGGCGACGUUGAUAGGCCGGGUGUGUAAGCGCAGCGAUGCGUUGAUUAACCGGUACUAAUGAGCCGUGAGGCUUAACCUUACAACGCCGAAG